UACGAAGGGGGCUAGCGUUGCUCGGAAUUACUGGGCGUAAAGCGCACGUAGGCGGCUUGUUAAGUCAGGGGUGAAAUCCUGGAGCUCAACUCCAGAACUGCCUUUGAUACUGGAGAGCUUGAGUUCGGGAGAGGUGAGUGGAACUGCGAGUGUAGAGGUGAAAUUCGUAGAUAUUCGCAAGAACACCAGUGGCGAAGGCGGCUCACUGGCCCGAUACUGACGCUGAGGUGCGAAAGCGUGGGGAGCAAACAGG
rnacentral:rRNA from 1 species